CAUAACUGGGCCCUGUGGGCUGGUCUUUCUUGUCCUAAGAUGAGCAAAAAAGAUACUGUCAUGGAAACCCACUCACUUGGUUGGAUUUUCUCAUAAAUCUGUUACAAUGCAAGGUUUCAAUUUCUCACAGCUUCAUGGACAUGAUCCACCCCACCCCACUCCACAUGGCUCAUCUUUCUCAGAUCCCACUGUGGUUUCCAUCCCAGUGAGACAAGGUCCAUGGAACACAACUGCUUUGGUCCAAAAGCUCCCGUAGAGGUGGUUUGAGGAGAGCAAGGGCUGGCUGCAAAGUGGUACAGACUGUUCUCACCUGCUCCUCCUGCCUAUGAACAAAUGGCCAAAGACAUUUUAGGUGCCAAUAACUAUCAGGCCAACUCAACUUCCUCAAGGACUACUGCCAAUGAACAGUCAACCAUGAUGGCAACUGCUACGAUUGAUUUUAUUUCCCAAGUAUGAAAGAAACACAAAUAAAUAUUGACACAUUUUCUUGUGUUAUUUUAGAAAUUCACUAUAAUGCUGCACACCUGUAAUUCCAGGAUGAGGUGGGAGGAUCACUUGAUUCCAAGAGUUCAAGACCAACUUGAGCAACAUAGAGUGAUUCCCAUCACAUUUACAAAGCAAAACAAAUAUUAAUAAUAAUAAAGUUCUAUUGUAAUUUAUACUUGAUAAUAAAUUAUCAGUUGUUUUACAUUAUUUAACCUGAUUUUUAGAAGCACAUAUUAAUUAUAGGACUCUACAUUUUGCACUGUGUUGUGAACUUUAGUCUUUCUUUACUUUUUGUAUUGACUUGUUCCCCUUAGAAAUUGGUUAGGCUGCAUGGGAAAGGAAGUGGUUAUUUGUGUCAAUUCUUUGUUAUAAUAAGGUAAUGUGCUUUAUUUGGCAAUAAAAGCUGGACAGCA